GAGCCCACGACAAGCCUACAAUAUCACAUAUGUAUCACCACCUAACUCAUUUACAAAUUAAAACAUUUUAACUCCGUAGUAGAGGCGAUCAAAAUAACACUUAGCGCUUACAAGUACCGUAAGGGAACAAUGAAAUACAAUGAAAAAUUCAAGCCAACAAUAGCAGAGAUUUCAACUCGUACCUUUUGCAUCAUGGUCUAGCUAGUCUAACCAAGCAAAAAGAAAUUUCAGUUUGCCCCCCCGAAACUAAGCGAGCUACUUCAAAACAACCAAGAGUAAACCCGUCUCUGUAGCAAUAGAGUGGGAAGAUUUUCAAGUAGAGGCCACAAACCUAUCGAGCCUAGUAAUAGCUGGUUAUUCAAGAACAGAAUUGUAGUUCUGCCUUAAAUCCCCUUAUGACACCAAAUAACCCAAAAGAUUUAAGAGUUAUUCUAAUAAGGCACAGCUUAUUUGAAAAAGGACACAACCUCAACCACAGGGUACACCUCAAUUUUCCGCCAAGUGGGCCUAAAAGCAGCCACCUUUAAGAAAGCGUUAAAGCUCAACUUGCUCUUAAUAUAAUUCCAUUCACAAUCAUCAACCCUUCCUCACUACUGAAUGAUCCUAUAACAUUAUAGAAAACACCAUGCUAGAACUAGUAACAAGAAUUUGACAUUCUCCCCCAAUGCAAGCGUCAACCAAAAUGGACCCCCCAUUGGUAAUUAACGAAAAUGAGCACACUACUGUAACAAUCAAGAAAAUUCCGUAUAACUCCUCGUCAACCUGACACCAGAGCAUUUCUAGAAAGAUAACAAGGAAGAGAAGGAACUCGGCAAACCCAGACUCCGCCUGUUUACCAAAAACAUCGCCUCUUGUCCCACUAUAAGAGGUCCAGCCUGCCCAGUGAUAAAUUCAACGGCCACGGUACCCUGACCGUGCAAAGGUAGCAUAAUCACUUGUUCUUUAAAUAAGGACUAGUAUCAACGGCAUCACGAGAGUCACACUGUCUCCUCUCCCCAAUCAGUGAAACUGAUCUCCCCGUGAAGAAGCGGGGAUAAAACUAUAAGACGAGAAGACCCCAUGGAGCUUUAAACCCCCAGCAACCCAAUCCCACACCCCCCUCAUAAAUAAAAAGCCUUGCCCACCGGUUUUAGGUUGGGGUGACCGCGGAGUAAAAAUCAACCUCCAAGACGAAAAGAACUAAACCUUUAUCCAAGAGGCACUACUCUAAGAAUUAGAACACUAACGUACAAUGACCCACAAACGAUCAACGAACCAAGUUACCCUGGGGAUAACAGCGCAAUCUACUUCAAGAGCCCCUAUCGACAAGUA
rnacentral:rRNA from 1 species